rnacentral:rRNA from 1 species
UAUAAAACUACAUCCGUUCGAAUCGGAUAUUCUCUGUUUACGGGUUAGAGCCGGGCUGGUUAGGCGCCUCAUUUGGGUUGAGGAUAAGUUAUGUUCGAAUCAUAAUAACCCGAAAUAUAACGUUAUAUAUUUUUAGUGUAAGAUACACAAAUAAAUUGUAUAACAUUAGUAACAUAAUAUGUAAUGUGACAUAUGAUCGGUUAAACGAUAUUAAGUAUAAAAAGAAACUAUUACGAAUAUAUAGCUAUAUAUUAAAGAUUAAAAGAAAAAUGUUCUAGGAAAAAUCCAUUUUUUAAACGAAGUGAAUUGAAAUAUCUUAGUAGCUUCAGGAAAACAAAUCAAAAGAGAUUCUAUUUUUCAAUAAAAAAAUUGAAGUAGAAAAGCCUUUAAAGUAAAACGUAAUCUAUUAUGUUUGAAUAUAGGGAAACCUUUCUCUAAGGCUAAAUAUGAUGUAUAAGCAACAGUUAAAAGUACCGUGAGGGAAAUAUAUGAAAUAGUAGUUUUAUAAGCAGCUCAAGUAUAAUUUAAAAGUUAAAUGAGAGCGUACCUUUUGCAUAAUGGGUCAGCAAGUUAAUGUUAGAUGCAAGAUAAUGAUGUUAAAAUAAAUUAACUACAUGUCCUAGAUAAACCAAUUAUUAAAUAAUGAAUAAGUAUCUAAUGUUAGACCCGAAGCCUAGUGAUCUUACCAUGAUCAGGAUUAUAAUAGUCCGAACGGCUUACCGUUGUAAUGGUAUCCGAUGAAUUGUGGUAAGUUAGUGAAAGACAAAACUGACUAGGAUAGCUGGUUUUCUGCGAAACCUAUAUAAGUAGGUGGUUCGAAUAACAUCAUAGCAGGUACAGUAUUGUAAUCCCAGGCAAUCUUAGAAGAUUUUAAAUAUAAUUUGUUUAAAGUAAUCUGUUUGCAUACAUUGGGGGAUCGUGAAGAUUUUAUCAGUGGGAAUUUGCUCUCGGAAGGGCAAUGAUGUAUUUUGAACUCUCAGACAUAGUACGAUAAGGUUGUAUGUCUAAAGGGAAACAGCCCAGAACAAGUAUUAAAGGUUCCAAAAUUAUUGUUAAGUGAAAAUAAGGAAGUAUUUUUCGAACACAACCAGUAAAUAGGCUUAGAAGCGGCCAUUUUUUAAAGACCUCGUAACAGAGCACUGGUUAAAGGUUUGUAUUAUUUGAUAAUACUCACCCUUAAGUUUAAAGCUCCGAAAAUUUAACGGAUCUAAACAAUGUACCGAUAUCUUGUCUAUAAAUAAAUAACAUAAGCAUAACAUUACUACAACAUAUGUUAAUACAAUUGUUUAUGAUGAUAUGAUGAUAUAUAUUUAUGGGGUAGCAGAACAUUGGGUAAAUGUAAUAUAUUAUAUUUUUAAUAUGAUAAGGAAAGACUAUAUUGUUUACACGCACAUUGCUACUUGCGUGUAAACUGAGAUAAACAAAUGUUUAUGUGUAUCAUAAUCCCAAUAGAGAAUGCUGGCAUGAGUAACGAAAAAGGGAUAACCCCUCGCCUUAAGCUUAUGGUAUUUUAUUAAGUAACGGCCCCUAAAUUUAUAAACUUUCCUAAAGGAUUUAAUGAUGGGUGAAAUAAUUGCGUACGCGACUUUUUUAAAAGAAAGACCUAAAAUAGCGUGAUCUUAUAUAUAUCUGACAACAUUAUAAAGGAAAUAAGAAAAACAAACUAGUAAAAACAAUACUAGAAAAAGGUGGUGUUUUUCAUGUGCAUUUAAUGCGUGAAAGAGAAUGUACAUUGAAAGAUUACUGAAGCAAAUAUUUAACAGGUCAAACAGAAUAUUUGUAAAUCUUUUUGACUUUAGUACCGGUCUUUAAUGUUCUGGAAAAAGAUAUAUUAUAUAAACCGUACCUAGAUACUACCGCAAGUAAGCAAGUAGAGAAUACAAAGGCGUUUGAGAUAACAAUCAUUAAGGAACUCGGCAAAUUGACUCCGUAACUUCGGGAUAAGGUGUGCCAUUAUUCCAUAAAUAUAUUAAGGUAAAUAAUAGGAAGCAUGAAAUAGUGUUGUACGACUGUUUAAUUAAAACAAAGCACUUUGCAUAAGAUGUAAAAUCAAAGUAUUGAGUGUGAUUUCUGCCCGAUGUUGGUAGGUUAACGGAUUUUCUUAGUUACUUAUACUAGGCUAGGUUAUGAAGGAAACCCCAAUCAAUGGCGGCCUUACCGAUGAGGGUCCUAAGGUAGCGGAAUACCCUGGCCGUUAAAUGCGGUCUUGCAUGAAUGAUUUAACGAUACAACAGCUGUCUCGAUGAUUGUCUCAGUGAAAUUGGAAUAACUGUGCAGAUACAGUUUACCUCUAGUUAGACGAGAAGACCCUAUGCAGCUUUACUGUUACUAGCAAUUGAAUAUGUAUAAAUAAGUAUUAGCGUAUAAGGUAGUUGAUUAUAUAUAGUUGAAACACCUUUACUUUUUUUAUCAUAUUAAUAAGAAUCAUAAAGAAUGUAACACAGUAGCUUCACAAUUGGCCACCAUCCUACCUCUCUAACUAGAUUAGAAUAAGAAGUGCGUGUUAUAUUUAAUUCGUUAAGUAUUACAUGCGACCGAAGUUAGCGAUUGGAAGUGUAGCUGUGUAAACUGGUUUAGGGGGUGGAUACCUGUAGACGGUUAGAGUGUUGAUUUUAUAGGAUUUAAAAAUGAACACAGUUUAAUUGAAAAUUUAUGUAACUUAUUCUAUACGAUUGAAAUCUGUUUUAUACAGUUAGAAAACAUUUGCUAGUGGAUAGUUUAUGCGGGGCACAGAUCCCAUAAAUAGUACCUGGGUGUAUCCAAAGUUAAUUUUGUAACUUUAAUAUAUAUGUAUAAAAUGAUACAUAUAUAUUGAACCAUUGUAUAUUGUUAUUUUUUAAUAGCUAUAUACAUAUUUUAAUCUGCUAUAAAUAAUAAUAUUAUUUAUUCAGUUAUUAUUCUAUUAAGUUAGAUUAAUUUAUUUUUUUUAGUAAGAUUUUAACUAUAUGGAAAAUAGAUGUAAUGUAAAAUUGUUUCGUUUUUCUUUAGAAACCUAAUGAUAUUGAUAUAUACUUUAAAAGUUUAAUGGCUUAAUCUUGCUUUACUGUUUGACUUACAAGUCUUUCAGUCGCGUAAGCGGGGCAUAUGAUCACAAGACGCAGAAAGGAAAGGUCUUGGAUUUUUGAAAAAGCUACGCUAGGGAUAACAGGCUAAUUGCGCCAGAGAGUACAAAUUGAGUGCGCAGUUUGGCACC